GCAGUGGAGCUAUAGUUAUUUUUUUUAGCUGAUUCGCUACAGUGCACAUCUAUCUAUAGAUGUGCACUGUAGCUGUGAGCAAAAAAAAAAUAUAAUUUUUUAUUCUGCCGGCUCCUUUUUUUAUUCAUUCUUUAUCACCGUCCCUCUCUCAUCUCUCUCUGAACUCAUCACUCUCUCAUUCACUCUCUGAACUCAUCUCUCUCAUUCACUCUCCGGUCUUUCAAGCUCGUCAACGUCGCCGACCAAUGAAGCUCGACUCAUCCUCAUCUCUGAACUCAUCUCUCUCAUUCACUCUCCAGUCUCUCAAGCUCGUCAGCGUCGCCGACCCAUGAAGCUCGACUCAUCCUCAUCUCUGAACUCAUCUCUCUCAUUCACUCUCCAGUCUCUCAAGCUCGUCAAUGUCGACUCGUCCACCUCAAGCUCACUCCGCUCUCAUCUCAAGCCUCUCAAGCUCACUUUCUCAACGUCGCCGACCCGACCAUCGUCAACGUCGCCGCCAUCGUCAAGUUCAGACCCACGCCGCUGAUCUGCCUCGACGCACUUCUCUUCCGCCGAUCCACUUCAGGGAAGUUUAGAAGAGUCGGCGGUGGUAUUUUAGAAUUUUCUGUGGCAACGGUGGCGGUAAAAGAGU